GGAUGGGUGCCCGAGUCGGCCAAAGGGAGCGGACUGUAAAUCCGCCGCGUUAUCGCUUCGAAGGUUCGAAUCCUUCCCCAUCCACCA
rnacentral:tRNA from 1 species